GGGAACACUCACUAACCAGGUCCUGCAUGCCCAAGUCAGCAGCAGUCUUCUCCAGGGUGCCAGACUUCCCUGCCCUUUCAUAUACAUAAAUCUGGUUAAAAGAGGAAAUAAAUGCUCCAUCUCAGAUACCACUGUGUGAUAGCUGUUGGCAUGUAUUCACCAAUGGAGAGCUGAAUGUCAGCCGCA